UUUCAGUUCAUGGGAGUGAGAUGAUUAGAUGGAGAUGGAUGAAGAUAGCUGUUUCUUCGGCGAUGGCGGCACUCUAGCUACGUUUCACCGGAAGAGUAGAUGUUUACGAUUCUGGCUGUAUUCUGGAGCGUUUCCUCUUGGGCGUCGCAGUUCACACACGUCACGGAUUCCGCCGAAGGAGUCGAUAAUUAAAAAAUGGUAUUCGUCUGUGAACAUUUUCAAACUGGGAAUAAUAUUAUAUCAUAAGCAGAUUGAAAUGUGUGAACGUUUCAGUGCUUCAAAGACUAAGUUUCGUAGCAGAUUUUGAUUCCGUCACGGGAUUAAACGUUUAUCAUCUGUGGGAGGAAAGUCAAUAAAAAUUAUGGCAAAAAGAAUAAUGGCUAUAUUAUUUAUACCAGAAAUAUUAUGUGAAUAUUCAUAUAGUGGGCAUGGUAACAAAAAACGACCAUUUGAGAAAUUGCUUCUAAAUAAAAUUAUUUUUGAUUCUGUCCUUACAAUCAAAAAAUUUGACAAUGCUGAUAACGCAGCCAAUGAAAUUGAACAGGUUAUUAAGUACGUUCGUGUUCAAACUCCAUUUAAAAUUAAAGAUAAGGC